rnacentral:rRNA from 1 species
UACGGAGGAUCCAAGCGUUAUCCGGAAUCAUUGGGUUUAAAGGGUCCGUAGGCGGGCUUCUAAGUCAGUGGUGAAAUUCUGCAGCUCAACUGUAGAACUGCCAUUGAUACUGGAAGUCUUGAAUCGUUGUGAAGUGGCUAGAAUAUGUAGUGUAGCGGUGAAAUGCUUAGAUAUUACAUAGAAUACCGAUUGCGAAGGCA